rnacentral:sRNA from 1 species
GGGGUGGCUCCGUGCUGUUGCCAGACCCCCGACCCGGCAACCGCACGGAGCUCUCCA